GGCCGCCUGGCGAAAUGGCAUCGCGUCUGACUACGAUAACAAAGGAAUCAGGAGAUUGCAGGUUCGACCCCUGCGGUGGUCA